rnacentral:rRNA from 1 species
UACAGAGGGGGCAAGCGUUGUUCGGAAUUACUGGGCGUAAAGGGCGCGUAGGCGGCCUGUUAAGUCGAACGUGAAAUCCCCGGGCUCAACCCGGGAACUGCGUCCGAUACUGGCAGGCUUGAAUUCGGGAGAGGGAUGCGGAAUUCCAGGUGUAGCGGUGAAAUGCGUAGAUAUUGGGAGGAACACCAGUGGCGAAGGCGGCUCACUGGACCGGAACUGACGCUGAGGCGCGAAAGCGUGGGGAGCAAACGGG